rnacentral:misc_RNA from 1 species
AACGCACAUUGCGCCCGCCAGUAUUCUGGCGGGCAUGCCUGUUCGAGCGUCAUUUCAACCAUCAAGCGCCUGCGCUUGUGUUGGAGCCCUGCGGCUGCCGCAGGCUCCCAAACCCAGUGGCGGGCUCGUCGUCGUACCGAGUGCAGUAAAUUUACCACGCUCAGGGCGCGCGACGGGUGACCGGCCGUAAAACCCCCCAACUUAUCAAGGUUGACCUCGGAUCAGGUAGGAAUACCCGCUGAACUUAA